GACUACAUGAAGCUGGAAUCGCUAGUAAUCGCGGAUCAGAAUGCCGCGGUGAAUACGUUCCCGGGUCUUGUACACACCGCCCGUCACACCAUGGGAGCCGGAAACGCCCGAAGUCAGUGGCCCAACCGGAAGGAGGGAGCUGCCGAAGGCAGGGCUGGUAACUGGGGUGAAGUCGUAACAAGGUACC
rnacentral:rRNA from 1 species